GGGUCGUUAGCUCAGUUGGUAGAGCAGUUGACUUUUAAUCAAUUGGUCGACUUUUAAUCAAUUGGUCGCAGGUUCGAAUCCUGCACGACCCACCA
rnacentral:tRNA from 1 species